rnacentral:rRNA from 1 species
GCAUACGAUGGAUGCCUUGGUACUGUCGGGCGAUGAAGGUCGUGGCUACCUGCGAUAAGCCUCGGGGAGUUGGAAGCAAGCUUUGAUCCGGGGAUGACCGAAUGGGAAAACCCUCGGCGAUGAUAAGUCGUCGAACCGUUUUUUAACGGGGCUAGACUCAGGGAAUUGAAACAUCUUAGUACCUGAAGGAACAGAAAGUAAAUAACGAUUCCCUUAGUAGCGGCGAGCGAACGGGGAAUUAGCCUAAACCGAUGUCAUGUCAAGGCUGGGGCCGUUGUGGCAUCGGGGUUGUAGGAGUCACCUGGAUAUGCUCCAGAGUAUCCGAAGAGUUACAAAUGAUAUGAAUAGAGGAAGCAGCUGGGAAGUUGCCCCAUAGAGUGUGAGAGGCACGUACUUGAAAUUCAUAUCACUCUUGGUGACCACCUGAGUACCACGGAGCACGAGAAAUUCCGUGGGAAUCUGCGAGGACCAUCUCGCAAGGCUAAAUACCAGACAGUAACCGAUAGUGAACCAGUACCGUGAGGGAAAGGCGAAAAGCACCCCGACGAGG